GACGAACGCUGGCGGCGUGCUUAACACAUGCAAGUCGAACGGAAAGGCCCUGCUUUUGUGGGGUGCUCGAGUGGCGAACGGGUGAGUAACACGUGAGUAACCUGCCCUUGACUUUGGGAUAACUUCAGGAAACUGGGGCUAAUACCGGAUAGGAGCUCCUGCUGCAUGGUGGGGGUUGGAAAGUUUCGGCGGUUGGGGAUGGACUCGCGGCUUAUCAGCUUGUUGGUGGGGUAGUGGUUUACCAAGGCUUUGACGGGUAGCCGGCCUGAGAGGGUGACCGGCCACAAUGGGACUGAGAUACGGACCAGACUCCUACGGGAGGCAGCAGUGGGGAAUAUUGCACAAUGGGCGGAAGCCUGAUGCAGCAACGCCGCGUGCGUGAUGACGGCCUUCGGGUUGUAAACCGCUUUCGCCUGUGACGAAGCGUGAGUGACGGUAAUGGGUAAAGAAGCACCGGCUAACUACGUG
rnacentral:rRNA from 1 species